ACCAGGUGGUCAGUUGGUGAGGGCCACAGCAUAGUCCUUUAGUCUCUAUGGACCAGGUGGCCAGUUGGUGAGGGCCACAGCAUAGUCCUUUAGUCUCUAUGGACCAGGUGGCCAGUUGGUGAGGGCCACAGCAUAGUCCUUUAGUCUCUAUGGACCAGGUGGCCAGUUGGUGAGGGCCACAGCAUGGUCCUUUAGUCUCUAUGGACCAGGUGGUCAGUUGGUGAGGGCCACAGCAUAGUCCUUUAGUCUCUAUGGACCAGGUGGCCAGUUGGUGAGAGCCACAGCAUGGUCCUUUGGUCUCUAUGGACCAGGUGGCCAGUUGGUGAGAGCCACAGCAUAGUCCUUUAGUCUCUAUGGGCCAGGUGGUCAUUGGUGAGGGCCACAGCAUAGUCCUUUAGUCUCUAUGGACCAGAUGACCAGUUGGUGAGGGCCACAGCAUAGUCCUUUAGUCUAUAUGGACCAGGUGGCCAGUUGGUGAGGGCCACAGCAUAGUCCUUUAGUCUCUAUGGGCCAGGUGCCAGUUGGUGAGGGCCACAGCAUAGUCCUUUAGUCUCUAUGGGGCAGAUGGUCAGUUGGUGAGGGCCACAGCAUAGUCCUUUAGUCUCUAUGGGCCAGGUGCCAGUUGGUGAGGGCCACAACAUGGGGAAAGAAACUGUUCAUAUGGGGGUCUAUAACAUCUAAUCACAGCAUCUGACAGUUGCAACUUCAUUGCUAAUAACUGCCUUAUUUAUAUAAAGACAUCAUCUCUGUACAGAUGUAAGAUCUGAAUUUGAUCAACCUGUCACAGGAAAACUAAAAUGUGUACUAUAUUUGAGUGUAUUUAAAUAAAGCUUUAAAAAAGGUUUCUGAAGAUGAUAAAUUACACUUUUCCAUUUUAAAAUGGUUCAUUAAUUA
ensembl:lncRNA